GCAGGGGUCUCCAAGCCAGGUCAACGGAGUAGGGCUUAGGACCCUAUCGCGUAGGCGUUCGUGGGUUCGAAUCCCACCCCCUGCACCA
rnacentral:tRNA from 4 species